rnacentral:rRNA from 1 species
CUACGGGGUGCUGCAGUGAGGAAUAUUGCACAAUGGGGGGAACCCUGAUGCAGCAACGCCGCGUGGAGGAUGACGCAUUUCGGUGUGUAAACUCCUUUUAUAUGUCAAGAAAAUGACAGUAGCAUAUGAAUAAGCACCGGCUAACUCCGUGCCAGCAGCCGCGGUAAUACGGAGGGUGCAAGCGUUACUCGGAAUCCCUGGGCGUAAAGGACGCGUAGGCGGGUUGGAAAGUCAGGUGUGAAAUCCUACAGCUUAACUGUAGAACUGCACUUGAAACUUCUAAUCUAGAGUAUGGGAGGGGGAGAUGGAAUUAGUGGUGUAGGGGUAACAUCCGUAGAUAUCACUAGGAAUACCUAAAGCGAAGGCGAUCUCCUGGAACAUUACUGACGCUAAGGCGUGAAAGCGUGGGGAGCAAACAGGAUUAGAUACCCCUGUAGUC